UAUGGCUUUACCUAAGCUUGCCUGUCCCAGAUUGCAAUUCCCCAAAAAACCGCCCCCCCCUUUUUUUGCUAGUUAAAUAACUGUCACUUUUAUUUUUAAGGUUAACAUUUCCAAUACCUCUUUCCAUGUAGACAGGCUCUGGAGCCAGUUAUUGCAAGAGCUAAAUAACAUCUCACUAUGUAUGCAUGCCCAUUUGUGACCAUUUCUCUUACUGGGCACCUAAGGUAUUUCUGUUUCCCCCCAACUAUAAAUAGCACUGCUAGCCGACGUCUCGUUUAAUACAUAUUUCUUUUCAUGUGCUUCUUUAGCUAAUAUUCUCAUUAAGACAAAAGGUUUAAGAUUAUUUUUCUAGGAUCUGCUACAGACUGCCACGAGCCAAAACAGGCGGCUCCCUGCGGCCAGCACAGCCCUGGCCGGUGUCCCGCUGGCCUAAAUGAUGGCAGCCCCUGUCCAAACUGACCCUGGGCUGCCCUGCUUCAUUUUUAACACGAGGGUAAUCACACCACGGACCUCCUAAGGCAGAGGGCCCAUUAAAGGAGACGAUUCCGCUAAGCACUUAUAACCGGACCUAGCACGCGGUAAGAGCAUUUUCUGGUUUAUGCUACCUCAUUUGAUAGCCCACCUACUUUUGUGACCUUCUUAAGGACCCUCCCCACAUUCUGUGCUUUGAUGUCUGGUGUCUUCAGAUGACCAUAUAAAGCAGAAGGAUGUCCUCAAAUCAUCUCUGUGUCACAGAAAGAAACCAGUCAUCCUAAAAGGAAGGUGCAGGCCCCCUGGCAUAACUAAAG